CCUACGGGGGGCUGCAGUAAGGAAUAUUGGUCAAUGGACGAAAGUCUGAACCAGCCAUGCCGCGUGGAGGAUGAAGGCCCUCUGGGUUGUAAACUUCUUUUAUAUGGGACGAAAAAAGGCUUUUCUAGGUCGUCUGACGGUACCAUAUGAAUAAGCACCGGCUAACUCCGUGCCAGCAGCCGCGGUAAUACGGAGGGUGCAAGCGUUAUCCGGAUUCACUGGGUUUAAAGGGUGCGUAGGUGGGUUGGUAAGUCAGUGGUGAAAUCUCCGAGCUUAACUUGGAAACUGCCAUUGAUACUAUCAGUCUUGAAUACCGUGGAGGUCAGCGGAAUAUGUCAUGUAGCGGUGAAAUGCUUAGAUAUGACAUAGAACACCAAUUGCGAAGGCAGCUGGCUACUCGAAUAUUGACACUGAGGCACGAAAGCGUGGGGAUCAAACAGGAUUAGAUACCCCGGUAGUC
rnacentral:rRNA from 2 species